rnacentral:rRNA from 1 species
UACAUGGGGUGCAAACGUUGCUCGGAAUUAUUGGGCGUAAAGCGCACGUAGGCGGUUCGUUAAGUCAGAUGUGGAAGCCCCCGGCUCAACCGGGGAGGGUCACGCGAUACUGAUCGACUCGAAGGCAGGAGAGGGUAGUGGAAUUCCCGGUGUAGUGGUGAAAUGCGUAGAUAUCGGGAGGAACACCAGUGGCGAAGGCGACUACCUGGCCUGUUCUUGACGCUGAGGCGCGAAAGCUAGGGGAGCAAACGGG